CACAAAGGGUCCUGGCUCCCUUCUCCCCACUCUGUGCCCGUUUCCUGAAUUAUCAGCCUCUGUUUGUGAUUCUCCUCCAAAGAAGAAUUCCUCCGCUACCAUGGCACCGACUCCUGUUUCAACCCAAAUGGCCUGGGGAAGUCUGUUCUAGUCCUCCACCUCUCUCAAAGGAUUCUUCUGGACCCCCAAGAUCAGUGCUCCUUGACCUGAACCAUCUUAACUGACACUCAGCAAGAUGUGACAUUGGGAUUUGGGGACGUGCAUCAGCAACUCAGCGCUCUAAGAAAGAGUAAACAUUUGGCUGGUCUCAUCCUCUGUGAAUAUCCCUCCUCCCAGGACCAUCCUGGUUUCUCAAUGACUUCACCGGAGAAGACAUGAAUAAUAUUCUCUACUUCCAAUGUGCCUCUCCUAUUGUUACUACUUGCCCCAACACUGCACAGUCCCUGUACAUAUUAUCCAAAUAAUCCUUCAAUUUCCCUCUGGAGUAGGAGGGAAAAAAUAGGAGGCUAUAGUUCUUGGAAACCUGCAGCAUCUUACCUUUUAUAACUGGUAUGCCCAAGUUGGAUGGGUCUAGGAGGAAAGGUACUUUCCACUACUGAUCGAGCUUCUCCCCGAGUCCCCACCUCAUAAGAGAAAAAGCGAUAUAGGACAGCUAAAACAGAUUUCCAGUUCGGAAGUGAAAGGUUAUAAGAUGCGGCCAGAUGGGCUAGGAUAGCAGUUGAAAGAGUCAAAGAGGCAUCAACGAGAGGUCAGACGUUGCAGAGUGAGAAACUUCCCAUAGAAGCAAAUGGAAAUAAAAAUUAUGCCGUGGCAUGAUUGGAACGGGGCAUAAUAAACCUUGACAUUCCCACAUUAUACAAGAAUUGUUGCAUCCUGUGCUCUGCGCAUCAUGUUUGUGAGACGUUUGCUUGGAAGAGGGCCAUUGACAAGUGUUAUCUUUAGAAAUUGCCUUCAGUAGUCCAGGGAUGGGAAGCAAAGACUCAAAUUGAGCUGUUCUAGGCGAAAGAAAAGCGAUUAUCCUUGACUGAGUGCCAACUGUCUGCCAAGCGCUAUGCUAAGUGCUUUCUAUUAUUCUCAGUCCUCAAUAACAAUCCGAUACUUUUAAAGUCGUUACUCCC
rnacentral:lncRNA from 1 species